rnacentral:rRNA from 1 species
CCUACGGGUGGCAGCAGUGGGGAAUAUUGGACAAUGGGCGAAAGCCUGAUCCAGCCAUGCCGCGUGUGUGAAGAAGGCCUUCGGGUUGUAAAGCACUUUCAGUGGGGAAGAAAGCCUUGGGGCUAAUACCCUCGAGGAAGGACAUCACCCACAGAAGAAGCACCGGCUAACUCCGUGCCAGCAGCCGCGGUAAUACGGAGGGUGCGAGCGUUAAUCGGAAUUACUGGGCGUAAAGCGCGCGUAGGCGGUCUGAUAAGCCGGUUGUGAAAGCCCCGGGCUCAACCUGGGAACGGCAUCCGGAACUGUCAGGCUAGACUGCAGGAGAGGAAGGUAGAAUUCCCGGUGUAGCGGUGAAAUGCGUAGAGAUCGGGAGGAAUACCAGUGGCGAAGGCGGCCUUCUGGACUGACACUGACGCUGAGGUGCGAAAGCGUGGGUAGCAAACAGGAUUAGAUACCCUUGUAGUC